GGUUUUCUUUAACAGAAAGAAACUUCUUCCAGUCAGUAUCCUUCUCCCUUCAAUAAUCUGAUACACUUUGGUUGAAGGUGUACUCUUUGUGCGGCUUUCCUUUUCAACAGACAACUUUAUUGAGCUUUUCAUGUCGUAGCGGUAAAAAUAUGUCUGCUACUGUGUGCGCUAGCGAAAAGCAUUGGGUCAUAUUUUUAUAAUAGUCACCUGCAAGGUCACCAUUUUUUUUGCUUUUUUGUUAUCAUCAAUACAUCUAAGCAAUGCCAUACCACCUCUCAGACUGGUGUAAGUUGUGAGUGAU
rnacentral:lncRNA from 1 species